rnacentral:rRNA from 1 species
UACGAAGGGGGCUAGCGUUGCUCGGAAUUACUGGGCGUAAAGGGCGCGUAGGCGGCUCUGUUAGUCAGGCGUGAAAGCCCUGGGCUCAACCUGGGGACUGCGCUUGAUACGGCAGGGCUUGAGGAUGGAAGAGGCUCGCGGAAUUCCCAGUGUAGAGGUGAAAUUCGUAGAUAUUGGGAAGAACACCGGUGGCGAAGGCGGCGAGCUGGUCCAUUACUGACGCUGAGGCGCGACAGCGUGGGGAGCAAACAGG